CUGAGGGUCACAGAGCCUCCUGGCUGGACGGUCUCAGAUGCCAACUGAUGGACCCGAGCCUGGAUGUUCAACCCUGAACCCUUUACACUGACAGUGACGCCCUCCAUGAAUUCUAAUAUAAAUGAAUUACCUCUUGCACAGUAACCGUCCAAACAGAAUCCCACCAUGAGACGUCCCCACUUUGUGCUCCAUUCAACACCACCACCACCUUGGCUCUAUAGGACAGCUUCCAUGGUGUUCUACUUCCUGUUAGGGUCUAAACAGUAAAGUAUUUUGCUACAUUUCACAAUAAAUACAAUUUUAUUAUAA